AGUUUAUCUUUAAAUUUGCCAUGCAGCGUUGUAUGAACUUUUUGGCUUAGUUUUGUACGUGUUUCCUGUUUGGAUACAUGAGGAAAAAUGUGAUAGAUUUAUGGAUGUAUUUUCAGAACAUUUGAAAAUGGUGGGUGAGUGCUGGUUGGAUGAAGAUACACGUUCUGUAGUGAAAUAUGAGGAGUUGAAAAGAAUAGAGAUAUAAAGCAGAGACUCCAGCUAAGAAGAUCUGAAGAAGGAAUUGUAAUUCCGAAA